rnacentral:rRNA from 1 species
UACGAAGGGGGCUAGCGUUGCUCGGAAUUACUGGGCGUAAAGGGCGCGUAGGCGGCACUGUUAGUCAGGCGUGAAAUUCCUGGGCUCAACCUGGGGACUGCGCUUGAUACGGCAGAGCUUGAGGAUGGAAGAGGGUCGCGGAAUUCCCAGUGUAGAGGUGAAAUUCGUAGAUAUUGGGGAGAACACCGGUGGCGAAGGCGGCGACCUGGUCCAUUACUGACGCUGAGGCGCGACAGCGUGGGGAGCAAACAGG